CACGUUUGGAUGUACCACAAAAUUCAUAAUGUAGCAUGUUUAGCAGAAGUGUUUUCCAACCACAAGUCUAAUCUCCAACUACUGGUCUGUGUCUGAGACCAUUUCUACAACCUUCCACGUUCCAUAAAUUACUUUAUAAUCCAAUCCUGCCCUUCACACCAAACACUACCCAAAUCUUUCUGUCACGUUUGUGUAGGAGCUUCAACAGAAUGAGUCACCACAGGCACCCUCCACCACCAGGUCCACCACCACCGGAUCCUUUUGCGCCGCCACCUCCACCAGGACCGCCAGGGCCACCACCUCCUGGAUUUGCUCAUCAUCCACCACCACCAGGUCCACACGGUCCACCACCUCCAUUCGCUCAUCCCCCACCACCACCAGGUCCACCAGGUCCACACGGUCCACCACCUCCAUUUGCUCAUCCCCCACCACCACCAGGACCGCCAGGUCCUCCACCACCUGGACCUCACCCUCACCAUCACCCUCACCCUCCACAUCCUUAUUAGCGAUUUAGCAUUACUUCAAUAUGCAUAUAUAUUGUAACACGUCAUAGAGGAUAUAAAAUAAAUUUACCAUUCUAUCUAUUCUCACUUGUUCUUUAUGUUUGUCAGUAUGGCCUACAAGACUACCAGCAUGUAAUCUUUAUUGUUGGAUGGAAUAAUUGUCUUACUUUUUUUA